CCGCGAAAGGCUCAUUAAAUCAGCUAUAAUUUAAUUGAUGGUACAAUCACUUUUACUUGGAUAACUGUGGCAAUUCUAGAGCUAAUACAUGCAAAAUGAAUUCCGACCGCGCGGGCGGGCUCUUUUACAAGCUCGUCUUCGCGGAACGAAUGCUUUUAUUAGAACAAAACCAAUCGGAUCUUUCGUCGGCUCGCGUCACUUUUUUUUCGUUCUUUUCUCUCGUUCGGUGACGUCUUUCGCGCUCUUCCUCCGUUCCUUUCUCCGCGAUCGCUUCGUCGAGAUUGAUUUCUCGCGCGAGCGAAAACGGAGAGUACACGGGGAAGGGAGGGCACACGGGAGCGCGAAAGCAUCCGUUCGAAACAACGGGGAAAGUUGCGAAAAAAGAACGGUGUGCGCGGAAAAAGCUCGAAAGAAAUCCGCAAAAAUAAUUUUGAGGAAUCUGAAUAACUUUACGCUGAUCGCACGGUCACGAACCGGCGACGCAUCUUUCAAAUGUCUGACUUAUCAACUUUCGAUGGUAGGCUACGCGCCUACCAUGGUGAUAACGGGUGACGGGGAAUCAGGGUUCGAUUCCGGAGAGGGAGCCUGAGAAACGGCUACCACAUCCAAGGAAGGCAGCAGGCGCGCAAAUUACCCACUCCCGGCACGGGGAGGUAGUGACGAAAAAUAACGAUGCAGGACUCAUUACGAGGCUCUGCAAUCGGAAUGAGAACACUCUAAAUCAUUUAACGAGUAUCCAUUGGAGGGCAAGUCUGGUGCCAGCAGCCGCGGUAAUUCCAGCUCCAAUAGCGUAUAUUAAAGUUGCUGCGGAUAAAAAGCUCGUAGUUUGAUUUGUGUUUCGAGCGAAUGGUUCAAAAAAAUUGUCGAUUAUAAAAAAAGGAAUUUUUUCACAACCGUUUCGCGACGAAACUUACCGUCGGAAAGAGAGAGCGUCGAAAGCAAAAAAAAAAAAAAAAAGGCGGAAAAAAAAGUUUUACGGGGGGGUUCCCAAGCUUGUGGAAACUCUUUUUAAAAGGCCAAAGCCAAACCAGCUUUGGUUUUGGUUUUUUCCGGCGCGGGGGGAGGGGAAAGGAAAAAAACGGAAACUUUGGUUUAACCCGGACUUGGAAAUUUCCCCGCGCGUUUUCCGGUUUUUCGCCUUGGGAAGGACCGGCGGGGGGGGAAAAAACCAAAAACGGAGGGGGGGUUGGGGGCGGGUGUUGGUUUUUUUUUUUUUUUUUUGUUUUGCUGGUUUUCCCUUUUUUUUUGCCGGGGGGUUGGCGGGAGGGCCCCGGGGAAUUUUUGGGGGCGCCGGGCGGGUCGUUUGUCCAGGGGACGUUUUGGAAAUGUUUGUGGGGUUUUUUUUUUUUUUUUUGUUCUGCUUAAAAAAAAAACGAAUCGCUUUAAUACGAUUGGUAUCUACGAAAAAAGCGAGCGAUCUCGCUUUCGAAUUCGUUCGUUUAUUUUUUUGGCGUCUUUGAAUUUUUUAACGAAAAAAAUAAUACAAAAAAAUCGUUUGCGUUUUCGACGCGAUCUCAACACAAUCCCGUCGCGCGCGUGGUUUCGUUCGCGAGCGCCGCGUCGCGCGUCGGGCCGACACGUUUACUUUGAACAAAACUGAGUGCUUAAAGCAGGCCAAUUGAAACCGCCGGAAAGUCUUAUGCAUGGAAUAAUGGAAUAGGGCCACGGUUCUAUUUUGUUGGUUUUCGGAAUUUCCGAGGCAAUGAUUAAUGGGGACAGGCGGGGGCAUUAGUAUUGCGACGUUAGAGGUGAAAUUCUUGGAUCGUCGCAAGACUGACCUAAGCGAAAGCAUUUGCCAAGGAUGUUUUCUUUAAUCAAGAACGAAAGUUGGAGGUUCGAAGGCGAUCAGAUACCGCCCUAGUUCUUACCGUAAACUAUGCCGGCUAGCGAUCCGUCGACGUUCGUUUAGAUGAUUCGGCGGGCAGCUUGAGGGAAACCAAAGCCUUCGGGUUCCGGGGGAAGUAUGGUUGCAAAGCUGAAACUUAAAGGAAUUGACGGAAGGGCACCACCAGGAGUGGAGCUUGCGGCUUAAUUUGACUCAACACGGGAAACCUCACCAGGCCCGGGCACCGGAAGGAUUGACAGAUCAAGAGCUCUUUCUUGAUUCGGUGGGUGGUGGUGCAUGGCCGUUCUUAGUUGGUGGAGCGAUUUGUCUGGUUAAUUCCGAUAACGAACGAGACUCUAGCCUGUUAACUAGGCGUCGAUUCGAUUCCUCCGCGGUCGAAUCGUCCGGCAUGGAACGGAUUCGGUUUUUUUUCAAUUUGCGAGCGCGCUCGACGAGGGAGAGCGGUCGUCUCAUCCUUUUCUCACGCGGUCUUUUCUCUCUCGGGAGAGAGAGCGCGGCGGGAGAAGGAGGACGAUGCGCGGCUCUCGCCGAAACGCGUUCGCAAAGAAAACUCGAACGCGUUCAAAACACUGUCGGCGUGAUUGAAAUCUUCUUAGAGGGACAAGCGGCGUCCAGCCGCGCGAGAUUGAGCAAUAACAGGUCUGUGAUGCCCUUAGAUGUUCUGGGCCGCACGCGUGCUACACUGAAGGAAUCAACGUGUGCGUACAAAGUCCUAGGCCGAGAGGUCCGGGUAACCCGUUGAAUUUCCUUCGUGAUAGGGAUCGGGGCUUGCAAUUGUUUCCCGUGAACUAGGAAUUCCCAGUAAGCGCGAGUCAUAAGCUCGCGUUGAUUACGUCCCUGCCCUUUGUACACACCGCCCGUCGCUACUACCGAUCGAACGAUUUAGUGAGGUCUUUGGACUCGUACGCGGGGGACGGAGCGCGCGGCGCGUUUUUGCGAGCGCGCCGCCGAACGACUGCUCGCAGCUGCGAGGAAGACGACCGAACUUA
rnacentral:rRNA from 1 species